rnacentral:rRNA from 1 species
AUUGAACGCUGGCGGCAUGCCUUACACAUGCAAGUCGAACGGUAACAGGUCUUCGGAUGCUGACGAGUGGCGAACGGGUGAGUAAUGCAUCGGAACGUGCCCAGUUGUGGGGGAUAACUGCUCGAAAGAGCAGCUAAUACCGCAUACGACCUGAGGGUGAAAGCGGGGGAUCGCAAGACCUCGCGCAAUUGGAGCGGCCGAUGUCAGAUUAGGUAGUUGGUGGGGUAAAGGCCUACCAAGCCGACGAUCUGUAGUUGGUCUGAGAGGACGACCAGCCACACUGGGGCUGAGACACGGCCCAGACUCCUACGGGAGGCAGCAGUGGGGAAUUUUGGACAAUGGGCGCAAGCCUGAUCCAGCAAUGCCGCGUGCAGGAAGAAGGCCUUCGGGUUGUAAACUGCUUUUGUCAGGGAAGAAAUCCUCUGGGUUAAUACCCCGGGGGGAUGACGGUACCUGAAGAAUAAGCACCGGCUAACUACGUGCCAGCCGCCGCGGUAA